rnacentral:tRNA from 1 species
AGCCCUGUGGUGUAGUGGCAAGCAUUUCGGAUUUUGGGUCCGAAGACCUCGGUUCGAGUCCGAGCAGGGCUA